ensembl:lncRNA
CCUGAACUGAGAUAUGAAGUAUACUUACUGUUAGUUAAAAAAGGCAUGAAAAUACAUUUCAGGGAGAAGAACUAGCAAAAGCACAAGUGCAGAGGCAUGGAAUAGCAUGGGACACGCCACAAUCAUUAUAGGCAGAUAGUUUUUACUAGACUAUAAAAGAAAUUCAGAACAAGAGGGAGGAGAGACUGGUUAGGUGCAUCUGCUUGGCAGAACCGAUGUCUCACUCCUGCAUGCUAGUUAAAAGGAUGUUUGGAAAAUGCAAUUCGUGGGCUGCCAGCCUCUGUUGUUCAUGAAGGUGUUCUGAGGAUUGGCCGAACAUAUGCAGGCUCAGCAAGAAGAGUGACAUGAUUCAUUAGUGAUGUCUGCUGACCCACAGGGAGGGAGAGUUUGGAUAUGCCUAAAACUCAUUCUUUCAUCCCCAAGCAAAGAUGGGAAGAAGGAAGCAGCUGAGGAGCAGCACCCAGUGAUUGAGACAGAUAAACAGUUUUAGGAGAGUAAGAUCAGAGGAUACUAAGCUGCUAUAGUUGUUGAGCUGCUUGGUCAUAGGAGAAACCAAAGAACUGAGAUAACAAAGGGAGAUGACGAUGGAAGUGGUCCUACCCUGGAACAGAGAUGCCCAAAUUAACUCUCCUCCCCUAAGUUGAGGUUAUUUUGGCACCUGUCUAGUCAAUCUUCAAUUUAUGGGCAGAAUAACAAGCAAAUAAACAUGAAUUAAAUUUGGGCUGGGCCUUCAUUUUAAGCACAUCUGUUCCUGAAAUUUUAUAAAGGAAUAUUAUAUUAAGGAGUCCUUAACCUGAAGAUCUACUGAACUUAAGAGGCUAAUUCACAGAAUAUAAACAUGAAUUUCUAAAAGCAUAAAGCUUAUCUGACCGUUUCAUUUUAUGUGUGGAAUCUGUGACCCAGAGAUAUACUGUGGCUUAUGCA